rnacentral:lncRNA from 1 species
AGCAUAUUCAGAACAAAAGGAACGGUUUCAAACGAGUAAGGUAUCAUAAUGCAAGGCAGAAUACAAGAAUUCUCAAGGAUACCAUCUCAAUAGAUACCAAAUCAUACGUAUCAUGUCAUUCAAAAUAUAUUUGAUUCAUAACAAAUGGAGCAUAGAGUAAUUGAAGCAUAUCAAUGGCAGAUAGGACAUUUCAGAACAUAUCAGUUCAUAGCAAAUGGAGCACAAAGUAAUUGGAGCAUAUCAACAACAUAUGGAACAUUUCGAAACAUAUCAACAGUGGAUGAAACAUUUCAGAGCAUAUCAAUAACAAAUACCGUACAGAAGCUCAAACGUCGUCUUUAACGUUGCAAACAUAUCAAUCUUAUCCAAAACAUGUACAGAAACACAUAACCAAAGCUCUGGAUAUCAUAUCAAACAUACAGAAGGUGUAGUGGGAUCUCAGUCAGAAUGUGAUUCAUCCAUUUCUGAAUGACCACCUGACAAAAGUCUCCUACGUCUGGGAGCUCCAUCCACCCACGUCUAGGUGAAGUCAAAGGGGGCCGGCAGAGCAUCGCAGGCUCUAAGCAUAUACCCUCAUAGCGGGCAACAAGCGCAUACCCUUUACCAUUUCUGACAAAGGUCCAUAAUAUCCCACAUAACGGGACCCCACAUAGCGGGCAAUAAGCGCAUACCCUUUACCAUUUCUGGCAAAGGUCCAGACAAUCCCACACACCAGAGUACAAGAGGGUAGUUUUAACAAUAAGUAGCAUAUAUCGGAAGCACACGCGGAACAACAAAGCGUACAUGUGCCUUUACGAGUCAAUCCGAAGUAAGCAAUAAUCUUUCACAAGUAUAUUCAGAUUUGAAAGGAAUUGAAAGCAAGGGCACAUAUGGAAUCCAAGCAAUCACAUAUAACUCAAUUCAAUAAGAAGAUUUGAUGAAUUCAAUGUCCAAAGGAAUGAAACUGGAAUAGGCACAUAUCGAAAGCAAAUGUGGAACAAUAGGAUAUACAUGUGCCUAUAUGAGUCAAUACGAUAUAGCAUAAACGUUACACAACAGUUUUCAAGAAUGCAAUAAUUUUAAGGACAAGAGCAUACAAGAAUUCAAAGCAGUAAUAUAAAGCUCAAUUGAAUAAGAAAGCUAAAGGAUAUCAAUUUCCAAAGGAAUGAAACCAGAAUAUGAGAAAUCGACCAAAGCUCGAUUUCUGACAGAAUACAAAAGGCACAUUGAACAAAUGAUUCAAACUAUCAAUCGUGCUCCAAUUUACUCAGAAAUAAUCAUUGGAUUAUACUUUCAGAUAAGACAGGCUUCAUAUGAAUUGAGCUGUCCAACAGAGAGAGUUACAAAUGAUUUGGUAAGCAAGAGUCN